rnacentral:lncRNA from 1 species
CUAGCUUCCCAGCCUACAUCUUUCUCCCAUGCUGGAUGCUUCCUGCCCUUGAACGUCAGACUCCAAGUUCUUCAGUUUUGGGACUCGGACUGGCUCUCCUUUCUCCUCAGCUUGCAGACGGCCUGUUGUGGGACCUUGUGAUUGGAUCGAAGUGUUGAUAAGAUGAGAAAACCCAGCCCUCUAGGACCCAAAGACUGGGCUGCCUUCUUAGAGUGCAGAAAGGAAAAUACCUUCAUUUCUUUCAUCAAUGACUUCACGGCAGGAGAUGCAGAACCCAGAACCCACAACCCACAGAUAUAGAUGGACUGCUGUCUAUCAGUUUCCUACUGCUGCCGUAACAAAUGACCACAAACUUCAUGGCUUAAAACAACACAAAUUUAUGAUCUUGUAGUUCUGGAGGUCAAAAGUCUGAAACUCACAGGGUGAUAUGGUUUGGCUGUGUCCCCACCCAAAUCUCAUCUUGAAUUGUAGCUCCCAUAAUUCCCACGUGUCAUGGGAGGGAACAAGUGGGAGGUAAUUGAAUCAUGGGGGCAGGUCUUUCCCAGGCUAUUCUUGUGAUAGUGAAUAAGUCUCACAAGAGCUGAUGGUUUUAUAAAUGGGAAUUCCCCUGCACAAGCUCUCUUGCCUGCCACCAUGUAAGACGUGCCUUUGUUCCUCCUUUGCCUUCUGACAUGAUUGUGAGGCCUCCCCAGCCAUGUGGAAGUAUGAGUCAAUUAAAC